rnacentral:rRNA from 1 species
AUUGAACGCUGGCGGCAUGCCUUACACAUGCAAGUCGAACGGUAACAGGUCUUCGGAUGCUGACGAGUGGCGAACGGGUGAGUAAUACAUCGGAACGUGCCCGAUCGUGGGGGAUAACGGAGCGAAAGCUUUGCUAAUACCGCAUACGAUCUACGGAUGAAAGCAGGGGACCGCAAGGCCUUGCGCGGACGGAGCGGCCGAUGGCAGAUUAGGUAGUUGGUGGGAUAAAAGCUUACCAAGCCGACGAUCUGUAGCUGGUCUGAGAGGACGACCAGCCACACUGGGACUGAGACACGGCCCAGACUCCUACGGGAGGCAGCAGUGGGGAAUUUUGGACAAUGGGCGAAAGCCUGAUCCAGCCAUGCCGCGUGCAGGAUGAAGGCCUUCGGGUUGUAAACUGCUUUUGUACGGAACGAAAAGACUCUUUCUAAUAAAGAGGGUCCAUGACGGUACCGUAAGAAUAAGCACUGGCUAACUACGUG